rnacentral:rRNA from 1 species
GACGAACGCUGGCGGCGUGCCUAAUACAUGCAAGUCGAGCGGGUCUGUUCCUUCGGGAGCAGGCUAGCGGCGGACGGGUGAGUAACACGUAGGCAACCUGCCCCUGGGUCUGGGAUAACGUUCGGAAACCGAUGCUAAUACCGGAUAGGUUGGCUUCUCGCAUGAGGAGCCAUGGAAAGCAGGAGCAAUCUGUCACCGAGGGAGGGGCCUGCGGCGCGUUAGCUAGUUGGUGGGGUAACGGCUCACCAAGGCGACGAUGCGUAGCCGACCUGAGAGGGUGAUCGGCCACACUGGGACUGAGACACGGCCCAGACUCCUACGGGAGGCAGCAGUAGGGAAUCUUCGGCAAUGGGCGAAAGCCUGACCGAGCAACGCCGCGUGAGUGAUGAAGGGUCUCGGCUCGUAAAACUCUGUUGCCAGAGAAGAACGUUCAGGAGAGUAACUGCUCCUGGAGUGACGGUAUCUGAGAAGAAAGCCCCGGCUAACUACGUGCCAGCCGCCGCUGUAAAAC